GUAUUUAUUACAUAGCGGAAGUCUUAUUACAAAAUAAAAGAUAAAUAUAAAACAAACUAAGGAUCAUCCUUGGCGCAAAAGUCAACUGGGGAAAUGCCACCUAGAUCAGAUCAAACUCCUCGCUUUGUGGCUCCUCCUGAACCACCAGUUCUUCUCCUGUGGGGGGUGUGAGACAGCAAGGGUGAGCUCACACAUGAUCAUAGAUCAACAAGUUGUGGGGAAACCAGUGGGCAUGAACUCACCAAAGGUGGGGAGUUCAUGUGAUGUGUAAGGCUAAUCAACAAUAGGGGUUAAAGCUGAGCAUUGCUUUUAAGUAGUUGGUCAAAAUUUUAUUAGCAGUUACUAAAUGUAAGUAAAUACCAAACCUUAAUAAAAAUAAUAGAACAAAAUUUAUAAAUAAUCCCAUGCAAUGCAAAUGACAAAUUGAAUUUAAGUUCCAUAAAUUAAUCAUGCGAGAGUCCUCAGCUGCUCAUGACCGCGAGCACGAAUAGUAUACCAGUUUUACACUCUGCAGAGGUUGUACCAUGUACCCACAAGUCAUGUUACCCAUCUGUCAAGGGAUCGCGACUCCCAUACACCUCUACCAAGGAAGCGAGGCAGUGCAACACUAUGAGGCCUUUACAAAGUUCCACUAGCUUCCGAAAACCCGCUACAGUUUAUGGGAUGAGCACUUGCAAGAAUUCCCCGUCUGACCGCCAUCGCAGCAAAAUCAACCCGAGAAUCUCCUAACAUGCAACUCCCCUACUACCCUUGCCCCUUUUGGAUAAGGUAGUCUUCCACUAGCUUUCGUAAUUAGUUAGCCAAGGGGUCCCAUUCCUCCCUUGUGGUGGCACAUGUUUCUCAAGUUAAGCUCCAUGUUCCAAUUAACAUUAAUGAUCUUGACAUGAACAUAAAUAAAAUAACAAAAGAAUUGGAACAUGGAUAUAAUGAUAGAUUAUCCCAAACCAUGUAAAGCAAUAGCAAAAACUACCCUAGUGAUGCAGGGAUAACAAGGUAAAAAGGGAUGAACAAUCUAGGGUGACCUAUUGGGUCCCAUCAAAAUUAAACAUAUGCAUUGAAUAGUGAUAAUAAAGAAUAUUAUUGGGUAACAAAAGUGAAUCAAGGGCAUAACGUGCCUUUAAUGAGCUCCUGCUCAGCUACUUCUAUCUGCCUGGUCACCAGGAUCCUUAGUCACAGGUUCUUUACUCGCCACAAUACAAACAAGCACAGUAUAUAGAGAAAAUUAACAUCACACCAAACAUGUAAACAAAAUACAUAAUAAUAUUCUAGAAAUUAAAUUAAAAUCCUAGAAACAUAAAUCAUAAUUUUUGGAGUUAUAGAUUUUAAGAUAUAAAUUUCCAACGGUUUUAUGUGCUUAAAAUAGGAUUAAAUGGGAAAUAAAUUUUCUUACAGUUUUCAUGACAAAACAGAGACUCUAGGUGAUAGAAAAUAAUAUUACAAAAAUUUAUAAAGUGGAAUGAAUUAAUUUGGAGUUCAUAUGAAUUUUCUAUGGAAUAUACAAGUUUCUAGCAAUUAUUUAUACACUAAAAAUCUAUUUCUAUUUUAUUUUCUCUGAUUUUCGAGUUGACUGGACUGUGCCUCAUUUUCUGGGAAAGACAAGGGGUUCGGGGAAAGAUUCACUGGACACAGAGCACAGCUCCAGAGAAUGGCGGGUUAGUUUUCCUAAAACAGAGGGUCUUAUGUGCAAAACGGCCGCGGCUGAAGGGGUAUCCUUCGUUUAGAGCCGUCCGAUUACAAAUGAACGGCUCUGAUUAGAUCAUCACCGCAACAGAUCGUUCUGCAACCAGAGCCCCAGGAUGUUGAUCUAAUGGUUACUAACUUCCGAAUCCUGCUCAAGGCACCGACCGUUCAAUCUUAGAUCAACGAUCUACCGUCCACUCCACCGAAUCGUUACGUUUGAACUAAUCUCGCACGUUGAACUACGAUCCAACGGCGGCCAACCUACCCCAUCGCCAAAGCCGAUAGCGCGGCGGCGCAGUAUCCGCACGGUGCGCAAUAACUCUACGUCUAGCCCGAUCCUAGCCGUGUGUUAUCUGAUCAAGGGCUGCGCCCUUUUCUUCCCCACUGAGCUGGUAGCCGGUCGUCGGACCAAUGCCCGCCCAGCGGCGAUUUGGUGAAGCGAGGCCCUGGUGCACAGAAUCUCGAUUAAAUGAGCCCUAACCUUGCAAACUAUUCAACGAUCACAGGUGUAUCGCCAAUUUUAACUGUGGUAGCUGGUUGGGGAACUGCAUCUACGUCUAACCUCUCACUGACGGUGAUGCACACCGUCGACUUCAAAUUAUGGCGCUAGGCUUUGGCCAUGAUUGAGGGCACGCCCUAGAUGCAGAAGGGAAGACAGUGAACUGUAACGCGCAUUACUGGGCUUGGCGACGCGCAGAUUGCUCCACACCGACGAGUGCGCCCCAUGCGGCCGGCGGCGGCACAAUGGCUAGUAUC
rnacentral:lncRNA from 1 species